rnacentral:tRNA from 1 species
UACCGAGUAGACAAACUGGUAAAGUCACUAGCCUUUGAAGCUAGAACUUGUAGGUUCGAAGCCUACCUCGGUAGCCA